CUUAACAUGUGUGCGCUUUAGAAUAUAACUAUAUAUGAUCACAUACAGAAAUUUCUAGAAGUGAGUAAAAAAUUGCCUGAAAACAUAUUCUAUGUAGCAAUAGGAAACAGUUAGAUAUCAUGUACAUGUAAAAGUAAUGGGGACUUCUAAGCAGGCAGAGCACAACUAUUUGUUUUGGAGUUCAGCCAGAAAACAGGAGUUAGCUCCUUUGCUUUAAACCUUAGUGAACAUGUGUAGGGAUGGCUGUGUGGUAAAAAUUAAAACUGCAGGCUCAGUGCUAAGGUGUAUCACUUCCAGUAACCAUAGAUCAGGAAGAUAGGUCACAUUGUACCAUCUCUCUGAGCUCUGUAUAGGUUUAUUUUUAACUUGUUACCAGAAUUUUGCAGCACUGGGUGCAGACAAAGGGAAAAAAUCCUGACUAUUAGUGCAGAGCAUUUUUUUCCUAGUGGGUAUUUUGUAACUAUCUUUGGUGACAAGUGAUAGGCUCUAAUCCGGGGCUUUGGUGGGGUGGACAGUCUUAAGAGCCUUAAGAGUAAAAAAUGAUUUUCACACUCAGCAUUAUGUUAUUUCCAGGUUUUGAUUCUGAGUCUUAAGAGAUUGGGAAAAGAUAGAGGGGAAAAAUUGUAUUGCAAAAUUACAAAAAUUAAUUUGACAUGAUAAAGAAAUUUUUCUUCUUGGUUAUGUGUUUCUACUGCACUUCCUCAUUUUGUAAAAAUACGUUUCUUUUGCUUUUCAAAUAUGUUUGGCUUGCAUUUCAGAUUUCACUGUGUGACAUGGAUGGAAACAAUCCUGAGCAUGCAAUUGCAUCAGGUCACAUCUUGACCUUCACAUUACACAUCCUUGGCAGUCACUUGUAUGACCUUGUCAGAUUUAAAAACAUAAUGUUAGAAAAGUCAUCCUUGGACAGGAGAAGAAAAAAUCUAAACAUGCAGAAAUGCAAGAAUACCAAUGUAAAAUUACAAUACAGCUGGAUCAGAGGAAGAGAGAUUUUCUUGUGUGAAUUUGUCCUUCAAACUGCUGAAAUCCCUGCACGAGUCCAACAUCAGAGUGUAAAAUUAAACAUGUUCUUGCCAUGAAUGCUGUGUUACAUCUGUUUAUUCUUUCUUUUUAAAAAAGAUGAAAUUGUUCAGCGUAUUAAAAAUGUAUGUCUUUGUAGUUCUAUUGUAGUUCUAUAUCUUGGUAUGAAGAAUCUUGCAGCAGCAUCUAGUAUUUUACAAAAUUGUAGUCACAUUUACUUAAUUUCUAAAGGCUUAUAGUGUGAAAUUUAAAUGAAUUUAUGCUGAUAUUUAUCAUACUAUACAAAGAAAAAUACAUUUCUGCACUUUUAUAAAGAAAUUAUAAAGAGCAGCUUAAUCUGUACCUGAAAGUCUAUCUGCAGGAAUUACACUUGUUCAAGAUUAUUAUGUAUUCAUAGAGAAACUAUAGACUUAAUUGAAUUGCAUUUGUAAACAAUAUUUCUAC
rnacentral:lncRNA from 1 species